rnacentral:rRNA from 1 species
UACGAAGGGGGCUAGCGUUGCUCGGAAUCACUGGGCGUAAAGGGUGCGUAGGCGGGUCUUUAAGUCAGGGGUGAAAUCCUGGAGCUCAACUCCAGAACUGCCUUUGAUACUGAAGAUCUUGAGUUCGGGAGAGGUGAGCGGAACUGCGAGUGUAGAGGUGAAAUUCGUAGAUAUUGGGAAGAACACCGGUGGCGAAGGCGGCCAUCUGGACCGCAACUGACGCUGAGGCGCGAAAGCGUGGGGAGCAAACAGG